UGUAGAUCUGAGCUGAAGAGUGGCCCUGGUCCUUUGGCUCUCGGGCGGCUGGGCAGGGUUCCUCUGGGGUAGCUGGAAUGGUAGCACAGGGGGGCAAGAAGAAUGGUGAGCUCUGUAAUCAUGGUUGAAUGAGAAUUGAUGGAUUGGAAAGCAGUUGGCUCCACCUCUGAGUUUAGAGGUCAAGCUCUGAACGAGCUUUAUCCAUCCUCUCACUGACUGCACUGGGAUCCACGUUACCCUAAGCUGGAAUACACAUGUGGAAGAACAUGGCCACUAGAUUGUCUGAAAAGGCAUAAAAGUUACAUAUUAUACAAGAGGGGGCUUCCCUGGUGGCGCAGUGGUGAAGAGUCUGCCUGCCAAUGCAGGAGACGCGGGUUCGGGCCCUGGUCCGGGAGGAUCCCACAUGCCGCGGAGCAACUAAGCCCGUGGGCCACAACUACUGAGCCUGUGCUCUAGAGCCUGAGAGCCACAGCUACUGAGCCCACGUGCCACAACUACUGAAGCCCG